rnacentral:rRNA from 1 species
AUUGAACGCUGGCGGCAUGCCUUACACAUGCAAGUCGAACGGCAGCACGGGAGCAAUCCUGGUGGCGAGUGGCGAACGGGUGAGUAAUAUAUCGGAACGUGCCCAGUCGUGGAGGAUAACGUAGCGAAAGCUACGCUAAUACCGCAUACGAUCUAUGGAUGAAAGCGGGGGAUCGCAAGACCUCGCGCGAUUGGAGCGGCCGAUAUCAGAUUAGGUAGUUGGUGAGGUAAAGGCUCACCAAGCCGACGAUCUGUAGCUGGUCUGAGAGGACGACCAGCACACUGGGACUGAGACACGGCCCAGACUCCUACGGGAGGCAGCAGUGGGGAAUUUUGGACAAUGGGCGCAAGCCUGAUCCAGCAAUGCCGCGUGCAGGAUGAAGGCUCGGUGUAAC